UACAAUGCUUUGACUCUUCAAUCUUAUUUAAAAUUUUUUACGAUUAAUAUUUUUAUUUACUAAAUGAUAAAACAUAAAUAGUACUUUAUGCGUGACUAAUUUUUUAAGUUUUUUUUUUACAAAAUUUUCAAAUAAGACGAAUGAUCAAACGUUGGGCACGGAA
rnacentral:pre_miRNA from 1 species